GUCCUUUUGUAGUUCAUUAGUGUGAUGAUUGAGUGUUCGUUCACAGGCAUGUGUGAGAUGUGCCACCCUCAAACCUUGUUACAGGGUCAGCACAUUACCCAUAUGACA
ensembl:snoRNA